rnacentral:misc_RNA from 1 species
AGAAACUUUACCGCUCAAAUUAGGGCUUUUCUUUUCUUUUCUUAUUCAGCAAAGCACAAAGUCCUCAAAGUUCAGUGCAACAAUGGCGAACGACGUAGACAUGAGUGGAUGGAGUGAGCUUCUUCAUUCUUCUUCGAAGCUUCUAGAACAGGCUGCUCCUUCAGCUCAGUUUCCUCCGCUUCAGAGGAAUUUGGAUCAAUUGGAAGCAUUAACAAAGAAAUUGAAGGCUAAAACUUUAAGAACUGAAGCUCCGACUCAAUCUAUUGCAGCAACUAGGCUACUAGCUCGUGAGGGUAUCAAUGCAGAGCAGCUUGCUCGUGAUCUCAAGUCUUUUGAGUUAAAGACGACAUUUGAAGACGUUUUUCCUGCGGAGGCAACAACUGUUGAAGAGUAUUUGCAACAGAUCCAUGAAAUGGCAAUGGUCUCUGCGGUUCAAGAAGCUCAGAAGGAUAACCUAAAAAAUUUCAAUGAUUACAUGAUGAAAGUUUUAGAGAACGACUGGAAGAAAGAAAAGAGAGACUUCCUCCAGAGCCUAAGCCGAAUUUCAACCUUACCUAGGACAAAUAUCAGUGAAUCAAGCCCUCUACGUGGUCGUCAGGGACAAAUAGCAUCUUUGACAUAUAGCCCUCAGAUUUCAUCUGGUCCUUCUAGCAUGGAGCCUUUAGCAUUAACUAAUAGGCCCAUCGUUGAGAAAAAAGCUGCUGCAUAUGGAGAAGUUGUCAAGAAUCUCACUAGUGCAAGAGAGCGUGGUUUACCCUUUAAACCUGCUACAGCUUUUAAGUGUGCUCUUGAGAGUUUGGGUCUUAAUGCAUCUGGUGGGAAGUCAGUUGGCAUUCAGAAGAUCUGGCAUCUAUUGUCGUCUCUGAUGGGUGAAGAUUCAGCUGUUCAACAUAAUGUUUCAAAGAAAAUGUCUUUAGUAAUUGGAGCUAGACGUCACCUAGAAUGGGGUCAUGAGAAGUACAUCAUGGAGACAAUUCAAGCCCAUCCUGCUCAGGCUGCACUUGGUGGUGCUGUUGGUAAUUUGCAGAGAAUCCGUGCCUUUCUCAGGAUCCGUCUAAGGGACUACGGGGUUCUUGAUUUUGAUGCGGCUGAUGCCCGUAGACAGCCUCCCGUUGAUACCACCUGGCAGCAGAUAUACUUUUGCAUGAGAACUGGCUACUUCAAUGAAGCAAGAGAGAUUUCCCAACAAUCUCGCAUGUCCCACCAGUUUGCACCUCUGCUUACAGAGUGGAUUUCCACUGGAGGCAUGGUAUCAGCAGAGAUGGCAGCGGUUGCUUCAGAAGAGUGUGAGAAGAUGUUUAGGUUGGGUGAUCGAGGAGGUCGACCCACGUAUGAUAAGAAAAAGUUGCUACUCUACACCAUAAUUUCUGGUUCUCGCAGGCAAAUUGACAGAUUUCUUCGAGAAUUCCCUACGCUUUUCUCUACUAUAGAGGAUUUCUUGUGGUUCCAAUUAUCUGCUGUACGUGAGUCCCCUGCCAGGUCUUCUGCUGUCCUUAGUGAGGGGUUGGCACCUUACACUUUGGAUGAUUUGCAAGCUUACCUAAACAAGUUUGAGUCAUCACACUAUACUAAGAAUGGAAAGGAUCCUUUGGUUUAUCCGUAUGUUUUACUUUUAAGCAUUCAACAUCUUCCAGCCGUCCUAUAUUUGUCCAAGGACAUGGGAGACGAGGGGUAUAAUGUAGAUGCUGUUCAUAUGGCUAUUGUCUUAGCGGACUAUGGGGUCCUCUCUGAAGGUACAUGGGUAGGUCAAAAAUUUGGGGUCAUGGAUGCUUUUGCUGAAGCCUCUAGUAUAAUUAGGCAGUAUGGAUCAUUUUACCUGCGUCAUGGUGAUCUGUUAAUGUCACUGGAGUACUAUGUGCAAGCUGCAGCAGCAGUGGGUGGUGGGCAGUUGUCGUGGAGUGGACGUGGUAAUAUUGAUCAGCAAAGGCAAAGGACUUCAAUGUUGAAACAACUUCUUACAGAGCUAUUGUCGCGGGAUGGUGGUAUUGAUAUUUUACUUGGUCCCAGGGGUACUGGGGAAGAAGGUCAACUUGGAAGGUUUUUGACUGAUGAAAAGACAAGACAACAAUUUCUGCUUGAAGCUGCUCGGCAGUAUCAGGAUGCGGGGCUCUAUGACAAGUCCAUCGAGAUUCAGAAGAGAGUGGGGGCAUUUUCAGCUGCAUUGGAUACGAUAAACAAGUGCCUUUCUGAUGCAAUAUGUGCCUUGGCACGUGGAAGGUUGGAUGGGGAAAGCCAGACUUCUGGGCUUAUUCUUUCAGGAAAUGAGAUCCUGGAGAUGUUCAAAUAUUACCCUGAGAUCAGUCCCCAAGAGAGAGAAAAUGUGUUGGCACAGCAAAUUGUUCUAAGACAGCUGGAGGCUGUGCUAUCCAUUCAUAAGCUUGCAAGACUUGGAAAUCACUUGGAUGCUAUAAAAGAAGUAGCGAAGCUCCCAUUCCUUCCUUUGGAUCCAAGGACGCCUGAUUUCGCAACGGAUAUCUUUCAAAAUUUGUCUCAUCAUGUCCAAGCUUGUGUACCUG